CCGCAGUGGCCCUGGCUCGGGGUUGGAGGAGGAUGGGCGACGAGAGGUGCUAAGCACUGUGCCCGGCGGACUGCGCUCUUCCGCGGCGGGAGGACAGUGCACCACGCCCUGGGAAGAGCAGAGACCGCUGAAUCCACAAGUCAGGGACUACCAUUGGCAGAAAUCACAAAACGCAGGUGGACAUUUUUGAUAGGAUAAUAAAGUGCUGAUCCAGGAUCCUGAUGGAGUUGAGACCAAAGAUGAGCACUAAUACCAAAAUGAAAACUUUACCAUCUCUACCGUCACAAAGCACAAAGCGGCUGCUUUACUUAAAGCCGAAAAGGCUUAGCUUUUCAACAGGAUUUUCAAGGUCUCAGUUGAUCAAAGGGAAAGAUGACAUAGAUCAUUAUCUGGAGGUGAAUUUCAAAGGAUUGUCAAAACAAGAGGCUGCUCUAUACAGGAAUUCAUACAAGAAGAACAUCUGCAUAGAAAUGCUGCAAGAGGGUUAUCACAAGUCCUUCUCCGAGCUCACUUCUCUGAUAGAGAAGUGGAAUGCCUUGAGGGAGGCUGGAGGGCCUGGGUCAGCCAUAUGGCUCCAGACGUCCCUGGAGGAGCAGCCUCAUAAGCUGGAUCAGCUUCACCACUUCCUGACCAGGGCCGAGGCAGCCGAACGAUCAGAGAACUAUGAAGAAAUGUACAACAACUUACUUUCGCUGGCCCGUUGCUUUGACAAUUCUGAAGACAUAUGGUUAAGAAAUUAUUUUUAUGAACGUUGUUUUAAAACUGCUAAACUGAUCCAAAUUGAUGGUGGGAGAAAAGAAGCUGAAACACAUGCAAUCAUGGGCUUUGUCUGUGAAGAAAAAGGUCAAUUCACAGAAGCUGCUGAGCAUUAUGAAGCAUUCCAUCAACUGACAGAAGGGCGGAUGUGGAAGGAUGAGACGGGCCGUUCUCACAACUCGUUGGCCUGUGAAAAUCUCUGGAGGAUCUACACAAUACUAGCAGACAAAAUGCUGGAAAAUAAACAACACAAACCGGCCAUCAAAACUCUAAUAAAAGCUUUUGAAAUAGCAAAAAAAGGGGGACACAGAAAGAUGGAAGGAAAAGCUGCUUAUUGUUUGGGUUUGGCAUAUCACUCUUCCAAACUCUUUGAGACUGCAGUAACAAUUCUGAACACCUACAUAGAAAUCUCUACAGCAUUAGGCGACAAUGUUGGCCUAGGGAAAGGAUAUGAAGCUAUAGCCAAGGUCCUAGAAAGCCAAGGAAAGUUGACUGAAGCACUCGUUUACUUGGAAAAAUAUGUGAAAAUUGCAGAAAGCAGUAAUGAGUGCCAGAGUAUAGUGGAAGGAUGUACAAUGCUUGGAGAGAUUUACAGUGCACAAGGGUUCUAUGACAAAGCCUGCGAAUAUUUCAGGAAGGCUUUUGAUACAGCAAAGAGCUUGGGAAACUCACCUCUGGUGGAUGAAACAAAAGUUAAUUUUGGCAUCGCAAAAGCUCAUCAGAUGAUGGCAACAUUUAACCGUUACAUAGAGCCUGAAGAUCAUACCAGCCUUCAGUACCUACUGAAAUGGAAGGAGAACAGAAGUGACCUGCCUGCUGACCCUGUUACAGAUGGUGCCGAAUAUCCUGGCUGUUGUUGAAGCAGAACUUUGGUGGUUUUUUUUCUUCUCCCUCCCUUUGCUACCCACCUUCUGGACGGUCCGGUAUUCUUGAGAAGAAUCCUAGAAAAAGCAGUAGACGGGCUGCAAUAGGCCUCUUUCCCAGAACUCCUAAGAGACACAUCUUAAAUGGAACUUUUGAAAUUCAGCCAAAGAUCAAAAAAAUGUUUAGAAUCUGCUUGGUCUUUGAGCCAUAAAAUGGGAUAGAGUAGGAAACAGGAUAAAAUAAGUAAGUAUGAUACUUAGGUCUUGGUGGGAUUAUGAAAUUCCUGUACAUCAAAAAAUAAUGGAUUAAAGCAUUUCUGAAUACAAGGAAAUAAAAUGCUGAAGAAAAUGUAAAGAAAAAUUAUGAUGAUUUAGUAAAAUGUGGCUUAUUAACAAUCAGCCCAUAUCUGUAAAAACCUGGUUGUUUUCUGCAGAAAUACAGUGGAUUACUUCAGUGCCACCAUAUUCUCUAGUGUUUGGCAAAUAAUCUAAGUAAAGCUAUGUCACCAAGAUUUCUUUUCCAGUAUAAAAGUACAUCUCCCACAACAAUUGACUCAUUGCCUUUCUGCUUAAAUUAUCUGCAGAACUCCCUCAGUUCUCCCUUUGGCUGUAAGAGAAUUGUCCUUAAGAAAAAUAAAAUGUAAUCAUUAUCUACAA